rnacentral:tRNA from 1 species
UGCAGGAUAGAGCAGCGGCAAGCUCACUGGGCUCAUAACCCAGACACGUCGGUUCGAGUCCGACUCCUGCAA